rnacentral:rRNA from 1 species
AUUGAACGCUGGCGGCAGGCUUAACACAUGCCAGUCGAGCGAGGGGCGGACGGGUGAGUAAUGUCUGGGAAACUGACUGAUGGCGGGGGAUAACUACUGGAAACGGUAGCUAAUACCGCAUACCAUCAGAUGUGCCCAGAUGGGAUUAGCUAGUCGGUGGGGUAAAGGCUCACCUCGGCGACGCUCCCUAGCUGGUAUGAGAGGAUGACCAGCCACACUGGAACUGAGACACGUUCCAGACUCCUACGGGAGGCAGCAGUGGGGAAUAUUGCACAAUGGGCGAAAGCCUGAUGCAGCCAUGCCGCGUGUAUGAAGAAGGCCGUCGGGUUGUAAAGUACUUUCAGCGGGGAGGCGUUACCCGAAGAAGAAGCACCGGCUAACUCCGUGCCAGCAGCCGCGGUAAUAC